AAUAUAUCUAUAUAUACUCAAAAAAUCAUUCACGCUACAGUUCGUGCUCUUUACAAAAUUUCAUCGGGCCACGGGUUACCGAGUUAGCGCCGUUUUUCGAGUCAGUUUUAU